rnacentral:rRNA from 1 species
GAUGAACGCUGGCGGCGUGCUUAACACAUGCAAGUCGAACGGAAAGGCUCCUGCUUGCAGGGGUACUCGAGCGGCGAACGGGUGAGUAACACGUGGGUGAUCUGCCCUGCACUUCGGGAUAAGCCUGGGAAACUGGGUCUAAUACCGGAUAGGACCACAUUUUGGAUGGUGUGGUGGAAAGUUUUUCGGUGUGGGAUGAGCUCGCGGCCUAUCAGCUUGUUGGUGGGGUAAUGGCCUACCAAGGCGUCGACGGGUAGCCGGCCUGAGAGGGUGUACGGCCACAUUGGGACUGAGAUACGGCCCAGACUCCUACGGGAGGCAGCAGUGGGGAAUAUUGCACAAUGGGCGCAAGCCUGAUGCAGCGACGCCGCGUGGGGGAUGACGGCCUUCGGGUUGUAAACUCCUUUCGCUAGGGACGAAGCGCAAGUGACGGUACCUGGAGAAGAAGCACCGGCUAACUACGU